ensembl:lncRNA
AAAUCUACACACAAGUAUGUUUUGUUUAACAAGGGAAAUGCAGAUGGGAUCUCAGGUAUUUCAUUAUCAAUGAAAGGGCAACAAUAAGAGGAAUAAAUUAUGUGGACUUAAGCCACGGCUUACAUCUUCCUGCUAAAGGUGCAGCUUUCGGGACCUGUCUGAGUGCUUCUCUCUUUUUGCUAACUGGGAUGUUUGCUAUUUGGGGAACAGGCCAUUGUUUUGGGAUGCACUGUUAGUGAGAGGUAAGCAGCCAUGGAAGGAACAUGUUGCACCAAAUUCUAGUUAUCUGCAUUACCAGGCUAUCUCUUCAGGUAUGAGAGAUGGCAGACAUAGACCCUAAAUUUCUACAUGUUUUAUCCUACACAGCAGUUUAUGUCCCCAAAAGAAGUUGUUACAGCAUGCCUACUGUGAUCAGAAUUUCCCACCUUAUAUUUACCAUGCAUCUCUUUAGACACUGGCUCUUCUGUUACAGCUUUUCUGAAUAUUUCUGUGAGUGGACAGAUAAUAGUUAUAUCAGCUGCCAUAAAAUAAAGAUUACCAUUAUUUAGUUAAUAGUAAUAUGUUUCAUUGCCACUGUUACAUAACUAUAUCUAAGCUACCGAACUUUGACAUUGAAGCAUAUAAAAAACUGACUCACUUUAGUGCACGCACAUUCAGAGCUCUUAUGAUUAAAUCUGUGGUGCAAGGUAAGAGUAGGGAUGGUGCUACCUCACAGGCAAACCACAAGUAACUGCAUGGGCAUGGAUUCCAAGGGCAGAGGCAGGAGCAAGGGGCAUGUCAUAGGCAUCUCGUCCACAAAGCUUCCUGCAUUAUUUUAUCUUCUUACAUUAACAGGAGAGCAUGAAACUCCAUUAAAUUCAUUUCAAAUCUCUGCUGACACUGUGUGCAGUCUCAGAACUGUGCUUGAAGUCUGUCACUCUCGCCAGUGAACCAUGUCCCACUCUGAAAUCUGCCUGUAAUGAAUUCCUCAUGAAAAGAGCCAACAAAUUAGAUUCUGUUUAUUUUGCCAGUCUGUGAUCUAAUCUUGGGACCGUUUUAAUGGGGGAAAUACCUUGUGAUCUUAAAUUAUACCCAUUUUCAGAUCUUUUAAGGAAAAAGUUUAUGUGAUUUGGAAAGAGGCCCAGGAACUGCUGUAUACACACACUCAAACCAAUGUUUAAGAGAAAAAAAGCUGGGUGGUCCUGGAUUUUCUUUCAUGCAAAUAACAAUCAUAUGGAGAUGGACUAAUAUUUAAUAAAAAUAUUUUUGCGAA